GGACGAUAUAAAAGCUAUUGCUGGCCC
rnacentral:sRNA from 1 species